UACGUAGGGUGCAAGCAUUGUCCGGAAUUAUUGGGCGUAAAGAGCUCGUAGGCGGUUCGUCGCGUCGGCUGUGAAAACCCGGAGCUCAACUCCGGGCCUGCAGUCGAUACGGGCGGACUUGAGUGUUGCAGGGGAGACUGGAAUUCCUGGUGUAGCGGUGAAAUGCGCAGAUAUCAGGAGGAACACCGGUGGCGAAGGCGGGUCUCUGGGCAACUACUGACGCUGAGGAGCGAAAGCGUGGGGAGCGAACAGG
rnacentral:rRNA from 1 species